rnacentral:lncRNA from 1 species
GCUUAGAAUAGAGGUUAUACAUCUCGAUGAAUUAUCAGACAGUCUUGUAUAAUUUAAGUAGAAAAAUGUAACAUUAACAGUGAGAUGUCCGCAAAUGUACUGAAUCAGAAAUAGAGAGAAAAGUUCACCAAUUCUCAAGAUAUUUUGACCACUGUAUGCUCUGCGGAAAUAAACUGAUCAUAGAUACUAGGACUAAAUUUUG